GGAGACAUGGGCAGAAACCACUCACAAUAUCACCUCCCACCAUUCUCUGAUUGACGUGGGCAGAAACUCCAAGUAUAUGAGCCACAGCAUACUCCAGCAGGCCUUACCCAAACCCUUUAGAGCUCAGGAGACCAAUACAAAAACUGGAGACUGCUGCAAAGCAAUGUGCUGGAGUAAGAAGAUGUUCCGAAAAAGCUGGUGCAAUGUUGUGUGGAGAAUCUCUGAAAAUGGUUCCAGAACUGCAUAUAGUUGCAUUAUGGCAUGUCUCUGUUAUUUGGCAAUGAACUGUGAAAUUGUUCCUGAUGAUUAACGGCUCCUGUAGGGACUUCAGAGUGAACAGAACUACAGAAACUUAAAGGAUUCUUUUGAGCACCUGGGGAAAUUUACAGCCUCCAAAGAAGUUUUGCUGAGAUAUUCUGCCUGAUGAAAGAUGUAUCUUUUAAAGUGUGCUCCCAGCCCCAAACAAACUUCUUUUUCAUGACAACAAUGGAAGAUGAAAAUUCUGUACAUAGUGUAAAUCAGUGUAAUUCAUUCAUGUCAACGAAAACAUGCUGAUUUAUAGCUGUGGAAUAACUGGCAUUUUUCUUUUGUACAAAUAUUGCGGGAGUUUCAAUUAACUAUAAUAACUCUCCAGUAGCUUCCCAUGAUUCAUCUGCCUUGGCAUCUUUCCUCUUCCUCCUCCCCUGUGGAAAACAAACAAACCACAUCAACAAACAAAAACUCCACUCGUUGAACAUGGAACAUAAACUUCUGUGUUACAGUGCUCUGGCACAUUCAUUAGAUAGUUUCCAGUAGCUGUUUAGGUCAUGAAUGUUGUUUUCUACAAGAGCACAUUACAGAGGCUUUUUGUGUCAAAAUAGUCUAGAACAGUAUUUAGAUUUUUUUUUUUUUUUAAAAAAAGGACACAAAAAAUAAAGACCAUCACAGACUUAUAUUUGGCA
rnacentral:lncRNA from 1 species